GUCCACGCUGUAAACGAUGAUUACUAAGUGUCGGGAAACCGGUGCUGAAGCUAACGCAUUAAGUAAUCCACCUGAGUAGUACGGUCGCAAGACUGAAACUCAAAGGAAUUGACGGGCACCCGCACAAGCGGUGGAGCAUGCUGUUUAAUUCGAAGAUACGCGAAGAACCUUACCUAGACUUGACAUCCCCGGCAAAGCUAUAGAAAUAUAGUGGAGGUUACCCGGGUGACAGGUGGUGCAUGGUUGUCGU
rnacentral:rRNA from 1 species